CUUGUGAUGGACACAUUGUUGGGUGAAUAGGGAUGGCAGAGAGGAGGGGCCCUUGUUCCUGAUCCAAUCACCCACUGGCAAGGGAAGAAUUUUCUGGAAGGAAAGGAGAGGCCAGCUAGAUGAAUAUCCUGCAUCCACGGAUGACAGAACAGCUCUUCUAAUGAGGGCCUUUCAAAGUCCUGCAUGGAUAAACAGCACCUGAUCAGAUCUUGGCACUCUGGGCAGAGAAACCAAAAACCGCCGGUCAGUUGGAGAAGGCUCCUGUUGGCUUUGCCCCACUAUUGCCUGCCCAGGCCAUGAUGGAUGUGCUCAGAGCUGGGCCUAAACCUUCCCACCAAUUCCCUGUUUUGGAGGAGAGCAGGAGAGCAAAACAUGUGCCACCUCCUCAGCAGCUGCCAGAGCGGGAUGCUCCCGAGCCCGCUGCUGUCUCCCAGCACUGGUAUUCCCCCCGUGCCCAGAGAUGAGGAUUCACCGUGAGAGAGCCAUUGUGUCAGCGAGAGCUGAUGAUCCCAGCUGAUGUUCUGGCCCCUUCUGAAAGGCAUCUUCCCACAGACCAUCUGGUGCAGCACAAUGCCCAGGGACCAGAUGGUAGCUGGCUUGUCAUAGUACCAGCCAAAGUGAGUCCCUUCCGGGGGGCUGUAUGAUGGUGUUCCUAUGGAAUACAGAUGGAGUUCAUCAGGGGGAUGCUGCUGCUUCCAGAGCCUGGCCCCAGCAUCCCUGGGUGUGUGGGGGCUGCCCCAGUGGCACACAGGGUGACCCGCUGCCCUCUCGCCAGCACCUGGGACUUGUGUACAGACUUGGGGUUGGAAAAGAAGCCACUGCUGUUGGAAGAGGGCAGCAGAAGCCCUGGCAAGGCUUAACCAUGACAGAAUCACACUUAGUGCUAAGGGAAAACCAAGCCUUCAUCCUCCCUGCCUGCAUUGCCGCAAAAAACAUUAUGAACCCAGAACAAGCCAGGUGAGUGAAGCAGCCCAAGCCCUUUCUCACCUGCACACCAAACUGGCUGGGGCACAGGUUCUUGCCCCCCCUCUCUGCUACCCUCACCCACGGGUGUUUUUGUUGGGCUGGCUGCUCCAGCCCCAGUCCUGGGCAGAGUGGUGGGCCAAGGCUGACAGCAGGGCUGGAAGCUGGGUCCCAACCCAGGACUGCUCAAAAGAAACUCAGCUGAAAGCUCAUUGCCAUGAAGGGCAGCAAAAGGGAGAAUCCCCGCCACACCCAGCUUGAGCUGUGAGGUCUUGGGCUAUGGGAUGCCAGAACUUGGAGCACACCCCUGCAUUGGCUCACCUGCAAAGUGAAACAUUAAAUCUGGUUUUUGCUAAUCCCUUGCUGGAGAUUUUUUCAGUGCUCUCAAGCACUUGUUCAGAACUGUGCAAGGGAGCCCUGGCCCAGGCUCUGGCCCUGGGGGACAUCGGGAUUGUUAUGAGUAAAAAGUUAUCAGGUUUUUUUAAGGUUGCAGAGUUAAAAUAAGUUGAACCAGUUGCUGUUAAGUUACCUGCAUGUUGCAGCCACCUAUUGUUAAGAGUUCUUCUUCGAUUACCUGGCAAUGGUUAGUGAUUAGCCAUUGUCCCCCCUGCUGCUUGCCUGGGAGUUACACCAGACCCCUGCAAGUAGCAGGCAAAGGGUGUGACAUCAGAGCUGGUAUGCAGAUGAGAAUGCAUUUCACCCAGAUUUUGCAAUUUUCCAGGAAAAAAAACCCUAAAAACAAUGAGCCAACAUGGAAUUAAGCAACCUAAGUGAUGUCUAAAGGUGAGGAACUUAGUCCAAUAUCUGCUAAGAUCCUUUUUACUUCUCAACCUAACCUGAAAAGAUGUUAACUAGAGAGAGGACCCGGAAUGUUAGACUGAACAAGUGGAAUCUCCUAAUCUCCCGUGAGGAUGGAAUCCCCAGAUCUGCCUGCAGACCAGCGGACAAAGAUGCAUUACCCUCCUCCUCUGGGCCACUCCUGGAAGCACCGGCAGCAUGGGCGCAACCUGUCGAUUUCUCCCCACCUGAGGUGAUUCUUUUUAAUAAAGGCAUUAAAAAGGAGAAA